rnacentral:rRNA from 1 species
AACGAACGCUGGCGGUAGGCCUAACACAUGCAAGUCGAACGGCAGCACAGAGGAGCUUGCUCCUUGGGUGGCGAGUGGCGGACGGGUGAGGAAUACAUCGGAAUCCACUCUGUCGUGGGGGAUAACGUAGGGAAACUUACGCUAAUACCGCAUACGACCUACGGGUGAAAGCAGGGGAUCGUCGGACCUUGCGCGAUUGAAUGAGCCGAUGUCGGAUUAGCUAGUUGGCGGGGUAAAGGCCCACCAAGGCGACGAUCCGUAGCUGGUCUGAGAGGAUGAUCAGCCACACUGGAACUGAGACACGGUCCAGACUCCUACGGGAGGCAGCAGUGGGGAAUAUUGGACAAUGGGCGCAAGCCUGAUCCAGCCAUACCGCGUGGGUGAAGAAGGCCUUCGGGUUGCAAAGCCCUUUUGUUGGGAAAGAAAUCCAUCUGGUUAAUACCCGGGUGGGAUGACGGUACCCAAAGAAUAAGCACCGGCUAACUUCGUGCCAGCCGCCGCCGUAA